UACGUAGGGGGGCAAGCGUUGUCCGGAUUUAUUGGGCGUAAAGAGCGUGUAGGCGGCCUGGUAGGUCAGCUGUGAAAACUCGAGGCUCAACCUCGAGACGCCGGUUGAAACCAUCAGGCUAGAGUCCGGAAGAGGAGAGUGGAAUUCCCCGGUGUAGCGGUGAAAUGCGCAGAUAUCGGGAAGAACACCCGUGGCGAAGGCGGCUCUCUGGGACGGUACUGACGCUGAGACGCGAAAGCGUGGGGAGCGAACAGG
rnacentral:rRNA from 1 species